GUGCUUGCUUCCAUAACACACAUACUAAAAUUGGAAAAGCACAGAGAUUGGCAUAACCAUUGUGCAAGAGUUUCACACAAAUUUGUGAACUGUUCCUUAUUUUU
ensembl:snRNA U6 U6 spliceosomal RNA